AGAGUUUGAUCCUGGCUCAGAUUGAACGCUGGCGGCUUGCCUUACACAUGCAAGUCGAACGGCAGCGCGGACUUCGGUCUGGGGGCGAGUGGCGAACGGGUGAGUAAUACAUCGGAACGUACCCUGUUGUGGGGGAUAACUAGUCGAAAGAUUAUCUAAUACCGCAUACUACCUGAGGGUGAAAGCGGGGGACCGAAGGGCCUCGCGAAUCAGGAGCGGCCGAUGUCUGAUUAGCUAGUUGGUGGGGUAAAGGCCCACCAAGGUGACGAUCAGUAGCUGGUCUGAUAGGACGAUCGCCCACACUGGGACUGACACACCGCCCACACUCCUACCGGAGGUAUCAGUGGGGAAUUUUGGACAAUGGGGGCAACCCUGAUCCAGCAGUGCCGCGUGUGUGAAGAAGGCCUUCGGGUUGUAAAGCACUUUUGUCCGGAAAGAAAUUGCUCUGGCUAAUACCUGGGUGUAUAUGACGGUACCGAAAGAAUAAGCAGCGGCUAACUACGUGCCAGCGACCGCGGUAAUACAUAAGGUGCGAGCGUUAAUCGUAAUGACUGGGCGUAAAGCGUGCGCAGGCAGUUUUGUAAGACAGGCCUGAAAUCGCCAGGCUCAACCUGGGAAUUGCUCUUGUGACUGC
rnacentral:rRNA from 1 species